rnacentral:rRNA from 1 species
AGGACGAACGCUGGCGGCGUGCCUAACACAUGCAAGUGGAGCGACGAACCAGGCUUCGGCCUGGGGCAGAGCCGCGAACGGGUGAGUAACACGUGGGUAACCUGCCCUGAUGAUUGGGACAACCCGAGGAAACUCGGGCUAAUACCAAAUGUGCCCUCCGGCCUCAAGGCCUGUGGGGAAAGGAGCUUCGGCCUCCGCAUCGGGAUGGGCCCGCGGCCCAUUAGCUUGUUGGUGAGGUAAUGGCUCACCAAGGCUACGAUGGGUAGCUGGUCUGAGAGGACGAUCAGCCACACUGGGACUGAGACACGGCCCAGACUCCUACGGGAGGCAGCAGUGGGGAAUCUUGCGCAAUGCGCGAAAGCGUGACGCAGCAACGCCGCGUGGGGGAAGAAGGCCUUCGGGUUGUAAACCCCUUUCAGUUGGACGAGCUUCGCCGGUGAACAGCCGGCUGGAGUGACGGUACCUCCAGAAGAAGCCCGGCUAACUACGCGCCAGCAGCCGCGGUAAC